rnacentral:rRNA from 1 species
AUUUCCUCUCGUCCGCGGUUUCCUCUCUGCUCUUGCAGCAGGUUGGGCCAUGAAGACUCCUCCCACAUGAGGUGAACAAAUGAUAGUCAUAUCUACUCCCUCUGUUUCAAAAUGUAGGUCGUUUAAGCGAUUGUAGUGUAAUUUUCCUCACGUUACGAAAUUCUUCCACUUCCCCAUUUUGCCCUCCCGCAUCGCUCGCUCACUGCAGUUCGUCCGCACUGCUCUGAGCUCUCUCACUCGCACCGCUAGCUACUAGCUCUCCCCAUCACUCUCCAGCUCUCCGCACCGCCGGCGGCCCGCGUCCCCAGCCCAUCGCCAGCCUCCCCUCUGCCACCCCCCCUCGAUGCCGGCCUCUCCUCUGCCUCUCCCUCUCGACGUCGCCGGCCUCUACCACCACCCCCUUUCUCCCCACCACCGUAUGCGCCGGUGAGUCCGACGGUGAAAAGAUCGAUUUUUUUGUGCUGGUGAUGAGCUUCUAUGCGACGGAAGCGUGCGCGGGCGCUGGAUCUAUGUGCGCCGGUGCUGUAUGUGAGCGAUGGAGGCGUUGGAUGUGGAGCGGCGGACCUGGAGCGCGGCCCAAGGGGCGGAUCUGGAGCACACGACCGCCGGCUGGAGCCUCUUUCUUCUCCACAACCAAGCACCGCCGGCUUGAGCCCCGUCUCUUCGCCUCUCCGGUCGCCGUGGAGGACCGCCGCGUCCAGCCUCCCUCCCUCCUCGACGGCGCCGCGUCCAGACUCUUCCACCCAAGGCCAUGGCGAGCCCGCAGGAGGCGUAGCAGAUCAGACCCCUCCGCCCCUUGUACCUCUGUUGUUCUUUCUCUCCACAUCACAUCUCAACGGUUUGUGCGGUCGUGUGCAGGCACUGUCCUCCCAUCUCAUCUUCUUGCGUGGUGAAGGAAUGAGGCCAGGCCAUGGAGAGAAAAGCUCAUGCUCAUGUCGAUUCAAGAGGAGAGGAGGGCCAUGGAGGGAGAAGCCUGCUGCUGCAAUGCCUACCUCGUCGUCCUCAUGGAGAAGGCCACGGAGAUGGCUGCGGAUCAAACUGCUGCACUUGGGGCAGAGAAGGAGAAGGGUUGGUGAUGGAUCCGCAGGGGUGCUGGAUCAGAAGUUGCCUGGAUCACCAUCGCCUGGAUGAUGAGGAGAAGCAGCAACGCCUGGGAGCAGCGUCGGCGGAGGAGAAGCAGGGGCUGGGAGCGCCUGUGCGGAGGAGAAGCUGGGGCAGGGCGGAGGCAGACGGCAGCGAGGAGCAGGGCGGAGGCUGACGAGAGAAGCCACGGAGCAGCGGAGGAUUUGAAAUCCUGGGCGGAGGAAGACGACGAUGGGGAUUUGAAAAUAGGGGCAGCGAUGGCAAAAGACUAUUUUUCUGAAUCUUUCCCUUAAACAAAUAAAUAUAUUUUCACAUAUUUUAUCAAAGUUGGUGGGGCCAUGGCCCCCUGCAGCUUUGAACAUAGCUCCGCCGCUGCAGCCUCACCUGAUGAUUUUCUCAUGCUCUCUGAAGCAAACAUUAACACUUUAGGGGGGUA